GCAGGGGUGCCGGAGCCUGGACAACGGGUUAGGUUGAGGGCCUAAUGGCUAAGUGCCCACGCGCGUUCAAAACGGCAGGGGAUGAAUAUAUCGCGUCCCCUGCA
rnacentral:tRNA from 1 species